rnacentral:rRNA from 1 species
AAUCAACGCUGGCGGCGUGCCUCAGACAUGCAAGUCGAACGCGAAACCUUCCUUCGGGAGGGGAGUAGAGUGGCGCACGGGUGAGUAACACGUAGGUAAUCUACCUUUGGGUGGGGAAUAACAGCCGGAAACGGCUGCUAAUACCGCAUAAUGCAGCGGCUCGACAUCGAGACAGUUGUUAAAGCGGGGGAUCGUAAGACCUCGCGCCUAAAGAGGAGCCUGCGGCAGAUAGCUAGUUGGUAAGGUAACGGCUUACCAAGGCGACGAUCUGUAGCCGGCCUGAGAGGGCGGUCGGCCACACUGACACUGACAUACGGGUCAGACUCCUACGGGAGGCAGCAGUCGGGAAUUUUGGGCAAUGGGCGAAAGCCUGACCCAGCAACGCCGCGUGAAGGAUGAAAUCCCUCGGGAUGUAAACUUCGCAAGAAUAGGGAAGAAUAAGGAGGGGUUAAUAACCCUUUUAGAUGACGGUACUAUUUGUAAGCUCCGGCUAACUCCGUGCCAGCAGCCGCUGU